AACGAACGCUGGCGGCGUGCUUAACACAUGCAAGUCGAGUGCGCGGUUGUAGCAAUACAACUGGCGCACGGCGCACGGGUGCGUAACACGUGGGCAAUCUGCCCUUCGAUGGGGAAUAACUCCGGGAAACCGAAGCUAAUUCCGCAUAACAUUCCUUGGACCUCGGUUCGAGGACUCAAAGCCGUAAGGCGUCGAAGGAGGAGCCCGCGCCCGAUUAGCUAGUUGGUGAGGUAACGGCUCACCAAGGCAAUGAUCGGUAGCUGGUCUGAGAGGAUGGCCAGCCACACUGGAACUGAGACACGGUCCAGACUCCUACGGGAGGCAGCAGUGGGGAAUCUUGCGCAAUGGGCGAAAGCCUGACGCAGCGACGCCGCGUGGGGGAUGAAGCAUCUCGGUGUGUAAACCCCUUUCGACUGGGACGAAUGCCUCGCAAGAGGAGUGACGGUACCAGUAGAAGAAGCCCCGGCUAACUACGUGCCAGCAGCCGCGGUAAGACGUAGGGGGCCAGCGUUGUUCGGAAUUACUGGGUGUAAAGGGUUCGUAGGCGGUGUGGCAAGUCGGGAGUGAAAUCUAUGGGCUUAACCCAUAGGCUGCUUCCGAAACUGCCGUGCUUGAGUGUGGGAGAGGCGCGUGGAAUUGCAGGUGUAGCGGUGAAAUGCGUAGAUAUCUGCAGGAACACCCGUGGCGAAAGCGGCGCGCUGGACCACUACUGACGCUGAGGAACGAAAGCUAGGGGAGCAAACAGGAUUAGAUACCCUGGUAGUCCUAGCCCUAAACGAUCAGGACUUGGGGGUGCCACCCGUUUCGGGUGUCGUCCCGGAGCUAACGCGUUAAGUCCUGCACCUGGGGAGUACGGUCGCAAGACUGAAACUCAAGGAAUUGACGGGGGCCCCCACAGCGGUGGAACAUGU
rnacentral:rRNA from 1 species